AAGGGGGGCAACUCCCUGAGUAAAGCGGCGCACGGGUGAGUAACACGUAGGUGACCUACCCUUGUAGUCUGGGAUAACCUACCGAAAGGUGGGCUAAUACCGGAUAUGACCACGAGAGUCUCGGCUCUUGAGGUGAAAGAUGGCCUCUGCUUGCAUGCCAUCGCUCGAGGAGGGGCCUGCGCGCCAUUAGCUAGUUGGCGGGGUAAUGGCCCACCAAGGCUAUGAUGGCUAGCUGGUCUGAGAGGAUGACCAGCCACACUGGGACUGAAACACGGCCCAGACUCCUACGGGAGGCAGCAGUGGGGGAUAUUGCGCAAUGGGCGAAAGCCUGACGCAGCGACGCCGCGUGGGUGAUGAAGGCCUUCGGG
rnacentral:rRNA from 1 species